rnacentral:rRNA from 1 species
CCUACGGGCGGCAGCAGUGGGGGAUAUUGCACAAUGGGGGAAACCCUGAUGCAGCGACGCCGCGUGUGGGAAGACGGUCCUCUGGAUUGUAAACCACUGUCCCCAGGGACGAAGAUGACGGUACCUGGGGAGGAAGCUCCGGCUAACUACGUGCCAGCAGCCGCGGUAAUACGUAGGGAGCGAGCGUUGUCCGGAAUUACGGGGUGGAAAGGGAGCGUAGGCGGGACUGCAAGUUGGGUGUCAAAUCUACCGGCUCAACCGGUAGCCGCACUCAAAACUGCAGUUCUUGAGUGAAGUAGAGGCAGGCGGAAUUCCUAGUGUAGCGGUGAAAUGCGCAGAUAUUAGGAGGAACACCAGUGGCGAAGGCGGCCUGCUGGGCUUUUACUGACGCUGAGGCUCGAAAGUGUGGGGAGCAAACAGGAUUAGAUACCCCUGUAGUC